ACUACGGGUGGCAGCAGUGGGGAAUUUUGCGCAAUGCUCGUAAGAGUGACGCAGCGACGCCGCGUGAAUGACGAAGGCCUUCGGGUCGUAAAGUUCUUUCGACAGGGAAGAAAAUGCCUAUAAGUAACUGUGUAUGUAUUGACGGUACCUGUAUAAGCAGCCCCGGCUAACUCCGUGACAGCAGCCGCGGUAAUACGGGGGGGGCGAGCGUUGUUCGGAGUGACUGGGCGUAAAGAGCACGUAGGCGGUGUUGUAAGUCAUUAGUCAAAGACUAGAGCUCAACUUUAGUAAGGCUAGUGAUACUAUAAUACUAGAGUAUCAGAGAGGAGUGCAGAAUUCCUGGUGUAGCGGUGAAAUGCGUAGAUAUCAGGAGGAAUACCGUUAGCGAAGGCGGCAAUCUGGCUGGAAACUGACGCUGAGGUGCGAAAGCGUGGGUAGCAAACAGGAUUAGAUACCCGUGUAGUC
rnacentral:rRNA from 1 species